rnacentral:sRNA from 1 species
AUCAUCUAAAUCUAAUCGUUUACUUUCUUGCAUUUUAAUUUACAAUCUGAAAACCAAGCAAACAACUUCUUCGCUUUAGCUAAGAACGAGUCUCGAAAAUCCUUAGAGUAUCUUUGGUCCUUGUGGAUCAACCUCGAAUAUUCUACUUAACGGUUAGAUAUUUCGGGUAAUUACUCGAGCAAUCAAGUUGGCGCCGUUGCCGGGGACCAAUUGCGUUACCUAAGGAUUUAGGAUUAGUUUCUAGUCUAAAGCAUUUUUAUUUACUGUUACUGAUAUUCAUUUCCGUGUUUUCUUUGGCGUUUUCAGGUGUAUGACCCGUAGCAAAGGCUCAUCACAUCUAGUAAACUACCACGAGGAUAUCAGAAGGUUUGAAAGAGAGAACAAGAAAAUAAACAGUUAGCGGUUCAGAGAGAAGUUGAGAUGGCUAAUGUUGUUGAUGAUGAUGGAAUCCAAUUUGAAGGAGAACAUCAUGGAGUGUUUCAGGAUCCACCACCUCCUGAUGGAAAUCUUCCUGCUGAUGGUGGAAACGCUGCGAACGCAGCUGCUGCCAACGCUGCCCGUGUAGCUGCUGCUAAUGCUGCUCGUGCAGCUGCGCUGAAUGCUAGGCCUGCGCCUGCUCGACAAACUCUGAGAGAUCAUGAUGCUCCCAAUAUUGAAUUUUUCAGAGACAGGAACCAACAGCUCCCUAUCAACAUGAAUGAUUUUGAGAUCAAGACCGGGUUGUUGGCCCUUGUGAAGCAGAAUCAGUUUCACGGUCAUUCCUCUGAGAAUCCUGUCUAUCACUUGGAUAAUGUUGAAGAUAUUUGUGGGACAACGAGAAUGAAUGGAGUGCCAGAUGACAUUAUCAAAUGCAGACUGUUUAUAUUCUCUUUGGCAGACAAAGCCCACCGCUGGUUGAAGUCACUAGAUCUUGUAAAUCUGAGAAGUUGGGAAGACUACAAAGCUGCAUUUUUGGGACAGUAUUUCACGCAGUCAAGGAUAUCUAUUCUAAGGAAUAAGAUCAGUAGCUUCCAACAGGGAGUCACAGAGUCAUUCCAUGAAGCUUGGGAGAGGUUUAAGGAUUACUACAGGGAGUGUCCUCAUCAUGGGUUUCCACGGGCUACAUUGAUCAGCACUUUCUAUCGGGGAGUUAACAAGGCCUACAAGAUGGCAUUAGACACUGCUAGGAAUGGGGACUAAAUGACCAAGACUGAAAUUGAGGCUACAGAGCUAAUUGAGAACUUUGCAGCUAGCAACAACAACCACAAUGUUGACUAUGACAGGUCUAAUAGAGGUGGAGGAGGAGAGUCGAAACAGUUUGCUGAGCUGUCAGCUAAGGUUGAGCAACUUCUGAGGAGAGACCAAAAAG